rnacentral:rRNA from 1 species
UACGGGGGGAGCAAGCGUUGUUCGGAUUUACUGGGCGUAAGGGGCGCGUAGGCGGUCGUGACAAGUCACUUGUGAAAUCUCCGGGCUUAACUCGGUAGCGGCCAAGUGAUACUGUCGGACUAGAGUGCGGAAGGGGCAACUGGAAUUCUCGGUGUAGCGGUGAAAUGCGUAGAUAUCGAGAGGAACACCUGCGGCGAAGGCGGGUUGCUGGGCCGACACUGACGCUGAGGCGCGAAAGCGUGGGGAUCAAACAGG